UAUUUAUGGACCAGUUCAAGAUGUGAGGAUUCCAUAUCAACAGAAGAAAAUGUUUGGGAAGCUGCAGCAUCAGCAGCAACAAAUGGAAUGAGGAGAGUUCUCAGCAUGUGGUGGCCCUACUGGCUUAGAUUCAAGAGACCCUUAUGAUCUCCAGCAUGGAGCAAGAUGUUUGGAUAUACUUCCCAAGCUAGAACAUAUUGUGGAGAAAGAAACUGGUGGAACAAGUUGACUUGCAGCAAGCCAUUGAGCUCCAAGGUCGGAGACUGAUGGGUCUGCGACUUCUUGAUGUAAAAGGCACAAUCACCACCGUACAUAUUUAACUUCUUAUAGUAGUGAUCUUUUUAUUUAAUUUCCUUUAUAUAUACUUUUGAACAUAUUUAUUUUUAUUAUGAAAUAUAUGACGUAUUCAUUCAAUAUGUGAUUGUGAUUCAAAGUAUAAUAUAUAGUGUGUAUUAACAUUCUUGA